rnacentral:rRNA from 1 species
ACAGGUGCUGCAUGGCUGUCGUCAGCUCGUGUCGUGAGAUGUUGGGUUAAGUCCCGCAACGAGCGCAACCCUCGUCCUUAGUUGCCAGCAUUAAGUUGGGCACUCUAAGGAGACUGCCGGUGUUAAACCGGAGGAAGGCGGGGAUGACGUCAAGUCCUCAUGGCCCUUAUGUCCAGGGCUACACACGUGCUACAAUGGCCGGUACAAAGGGUAGCAAGACCGCGAGGUGGAGCCAAUCCCAAAAAGCCGGUCUCAGUUCGGAUUGGAGUCUGCAACUCGACUCCAUGAAGUUGGAAUCGCUAGUAAUCGUGGAUCAGCAUGCCACGGUGAAUACGUUCCCGGGCCUU